ACACACACACAGAGUAUUCCUGUUAUGCACUGGUAACUUUAUAAAGGCUACAUAGGCGUCUGAUAGUACUUAGCUGUGAGUGUAUGUUUGCGUGUCACUUGAGGGAAGCAGGGUGUGCUGUAUCCUGACAACAGUUCUGGAGCACUGAAUGUGAAGACCCCUGGUGAUGAAGCAUUGCCAUGGCUGCUGCCACUGCUGCUGCCGUGGCAGUGAAUUAUUCGCGUCUCAAGCUACUGUGCAUCUUGGAGGGUCCAGGAGCAGCCGUGCUCUUUCACGCCCUGACACGCGGCACAAACAAGACCGCCGCCGUCACCCUCUUGGACUACCUGACCAGCCUCCGAAACACCUCGAAGGCCAACUAUUGCACACUCAGCAACAAGGAUAAGAGGAAGGCAUUUAACCGUGAUGAGGAAAAGCAGAUUGCCAAUGACCCCUCAUGCCAGAGCUUUGAUAUCACACUGCUCCACAAGAGCAUCAGACUGGCCUGUGAAAAUGUUGCAGGACUAAGUGAUGUACGCUGGCAGGAUGAUACAGUGAUGGAGGGCCUGCUCACUAAGAUAAAAGAUGAGCGUAACAAGGUCGUGCACGAAAGACCUAAGAUGACAGAUAAACAGUUCCUGGACAAAGCUGAGGAACUCAAGAACCUCUUCAUCAGAGCCCUUCAGGCAGUCAAGGACAAGUACGGAGUCUCUGACGCCGAGACCACAAACAUCACUGACAUCAUAACAAGCCAGAUACAAGAAAUAUGUCAGGCCUUUGAUGACAAUGUCAUCUUACAGAUGAGUUUUGAGAAAAAGCUCCAUUUGUUUAAGCAAGAGUCAGUAAGUCACCUGAGAGAAAUUUACAAACAGUAUGAAUAUUUUGACCCAGUGUCCUUCCUCAGUGAAUCCUCAAAACGGGUUCACAUCCAGACUGUAUUUUCAAAACUUGUCCUUAAACAGCAGCCCAAAUCACUUGACAUAGACUUGUUAGAUAUCUUAAAAUACCUAACAGCAGAGUCUCAGAGCUCGCAGCCCUCGCAGCUGCAGCCCUCGCAGCUGCAGCCCUCGCAGGUGCAGCCCUCGCAGCUGCAGCCCUCACAGCCUGUCCAGGACAAAAGGCCACGCCUUGCUGUGGUGAGCGGUGUCGCUGGGAGUGGCAAGACCACCCUGCUCACUUUCAUCUUGUCAGAGUGGCUCAAGGAAGAGAGUGACCGCCGCGUCACACACCUGGAGGAGUACGACAUUGUACUCAGAAUGCUGUGCCGCGACACAGAUGCUGAAGAUCUGGAGACAUUCCUGGGCCUGGUCCUCCCGCCUAGUCUGUCUAGUCUGCCGGUCUUUAACGCGUCCCUCGUGAACUAUUUAAAGCACUGUAAAGUGCUCUUCCUCAUCGAUGGUCUGGAUGAGCAGAACAGCACCUCCAAAAAGCUCAUCACUAAGAUUGUAAAUACAACCAAAUAUAACAAAAAUUUCUCAAUUCUCACCACCUCACGACCAGAGCGAGUGAACCAGUUCUUGGCCCUCACACAAGAAGACUAUAACCAAUUGCAGAUAUCUAUCAAAGGGAUUCCUGUCCAUAGGAGGAUGCAGUUUGCAGAGCAGUACUGCACCUCCACAAACAAGGAUAGGGUGAAGGAGUUCAUGAGAGAACAAGGCAAUAAGACCUUGUUUGAGCUUCCCCUCAACAUAAUAUUCCUGGUUACAUUAUUUGAAGAGAAUCCAAAUUUUAUUACAAAAAACAUUACCCCAUCCAUCUUGUACACCAAAAUCCAUGAGUGGUGCAUAGAGAAGCUGCGUGUCAGAAUAUCCAAGGACCCCACAUGGGGGGAGAAGAGGCCACAGACCCUCAAGAUGAGGAUAAAAAGAGUGGUGAAAGAGAUGUACCAAGUGGCACUACAAAGCUUGCUGCAGGACAGAGUGAACCUCUCAGAUGAGGACACAGAGCGGCUGACAGAUUGCUGUGAGAGAGAGGACCUGCCACCCCAACAAGUCCUGGGAGCAUUUUUCACUCUGCAGUUGUCCAUCACCAAGAGAAUAUGUGAAGAAAGAUACUCCAUGCACCAUAAAGGAAUGCUGGAGUACUUUGCAGCUCGACAUAUCAUGCAGCACCUCCAGGAUGGAUCCCUCCCAGGACCAGGGGCUAUUAGGAGCCUGCUUGAGACCACCUUUCACAGUGAAUCCCUCCCAGAACAAGGUGUUUUUAGAAGGCUGCUUCAGGGUGUCUUUCAGCUAAUACCUCAGUAUCAGUUUCAUUCUUCAGGUCUCCUUGCUACUGAGAGGAUAUCUCGAGUCGUCACUCAGCCACGGGCACGGCCUCUAGAUCCUCGGGGUCUGCAAAACCUUUUCUGGCACGUAGCAGGCCUCUUGACCACAGAAGAAACAAACCAUCCCGAGAACAUAAAAGAGGUGAUAGAUCUACUGGCAGAGACUGGCGCAGGGUGGGAUGAAUGGCUGUCACUGGUGGAAGACAUAGAUAAUGAAAGCUUCCUGCAGGCCAUCGCUCACCAUGUCACAAAAAAUCCUCCUGAUGGCACAGUACAGAUAAAUGACAAUACACUGACCAGUGCUGCAGCUCUGCUCCCCAACACUCCCACAACAACAGUGGAAUUGUGGCUGGAGAAUGAAAAAGUGAAUGUGGAGAAUGUUCGUGCCUUGAUUGAUCAUCACUGCCGUGAGUUGUGCCUAUGGCACCAUUACUGGCACCCCGGCAACAUAACUGCCUCAGACACUGUGCUGCGUGCCAUACACAGGGAUUGCCUUGAGAGGUUCAUGGGUCACCUGAGUGCUGAUUGCAUGGCACUGAUCCCUGAAUGCCUUAGGGAGCUACGCCUGGCUGUAUCUAGCGAUGAGCACGCUGCCAGCCUCCCAGCAGCCCUCACCCGAGCUGCCUCAUCUCUGCCUAACCUGCAGUGGCUUUUCAUACACGUCCCUGUGGCGAUGGUAACACCAGCGGCGGUUCCGUCACCACUGCCUGACAUCACACGUGUUGACCUGAUCUUGUCUGGCGUGAACAAAAGCCUGUUGAAGGAAGCAUGUCAAGUGGCAGCAGCUCUCCAGCCUACGGCAGGAUAUGGUGGCAUUGGAUUCCCCCAGGGCAGGAUGAAGGCAGCAGAGUGGCGGGACCUGCUUUACCUCCUGGCGGCAGAAAUGGUCAGGGUGGGGAGGAGGGGAGCUGUUGUGAUACCAGAGGAAACCAUCACAUGGGAGGAGGGGAGGGAGCUGGAGGACCUCACUGGCACUUUGUGGGGGUGUAGGGUGUUAAGGCGCACUGAUGAGGAGUGUUUCCACGGAUAUUACUUUGUACCAAAUUCUUAGGCUGAUUAGUCAGAUGAAGAUGAUGAAGAACAUGAAGACGACGAUGAUGAAGACAAUGGUGAAGAUGAGGAGGGGAAGGAGAAAGAAUAAAAGAAAAGAAAAAAAAAAUAAUAAUAAAAAAAACAUCACUAAUAUUGAGAGCUGUGUAAAUGAUACAAUAUUAUAAGUGUUGGCAGAUUCAUUUCCUUUAGCCUGUGUAGCCGCACCAGCUGGGCAUCAAUUGGCUCUCAGGUGAUCUGUUUUACUGAUCACACCCAUCAUCGUAGGGUCGAGGAAAGGCAGUUCUCCCUGACACGUUUAUUGAUGAGGUAGGCAUGACCGUAAGAACUGCGAACAAGUUUUCGGUCUCAAUUUCUUACAAAAUAGCAUUAUACACAGAUAUUAAACACUUUCAACAUAUUACAAUAUUCAUUAACAAUACAUGCAAUUAACUUGGCACUAUGACAAUCAGUUUUAACUACAAAAUUAAAGUAUUUACCUCGGUCACCAUCCUGCCCGUCUUUGUCUGAGCGCGACUUGGCCGUGAGUGAUGCCCGCAGGCGACUAGCAGGUUAACCCCACACUACUAACAAGUGAGCAUUGGUUUUGGUGCUUAAUAUAGCAUUAAAUACUGAUACUUACACAUAUUACACGUUUUCAUGCAAAUAGAAAACUAUUGAACAUUUCACUUAUAAAUGCCGAGGAAUAAUGAUGUGAGGUACAUACGCUUUACAUACAGUAACAUGGCUCCCCUAAAUUGUGUAACAAUUUACCUUAAAUUAAGAUUAGUAUGUACCUUAAAGCUAGGAUUAGCACAUAUGUUUUGUUACACUGGCUCCUUGGCGGGGAUGCUCUGGUCUAUUAUUAUGCAUUACCUUCUAACAGCAAUACUAGAUUAUGUAUUGGCCCCUCUAUGAUGGUCCUGUUUGUCCUUGUGCGUCUUCCCUGGUUGUCGAGAUUACAGUCUGAAACCAGGACCUUAACCUUUCUUACUAGGCCAUCAUGAUCAGGAGAUACUUUAUCCAUUUAGGUUUGACAUAAUCUGGCACCUCAUUAUCCCAUUCAACUGCAUUCUUACAUAAUUCUUGUAAAAUUUGCUUUCCAGUCAGUAUGAGAGGUGACACUAGACCUAAUGGAUCAUAUAUAGAGCUCACUGUUGACAGAAUGCCUCUCCUGGUGAGUGGCUUGUCUUUCAGCUUUAUUCUAAAUUGAAAUGUGUCAGAUUCUAUGCACCACUCAACUCCCAAAGUUCCUUCUAGAGGCAGUGUGUCUUCAUUCUUACUAAAAUCCAAUCUUUUAAUUCCAUCUGCUCUCUCAUGAGGAGAAAUUGCAGCUAAUACAUCUUUGUUGUUUGACAAGAACUUAUGAAGGUUAAAACCUCCCUUGUAACAUAAUUCUUUGCUCUGCUGAAUAAGAGUGACAGCUUCAUCCAUUGUAGCUACUGACUUCAAACCAUCAUCAACAUAAAAGUUGUUUCUUACAAACUUGGCUGCAUCAGAUCCACACCCGUAGUCAUCUGCAGCUUUCUUAAGAGCAAAGUUGGCUACACUUGGAGAUGAAGUAGCUCCAAACAGGUGAGCUGUCAUCCUGUAUUCAGCUAUCUCAUUAUUAAGGUCACCAUUUUCCCACCAAAGGAAUCUUAACAUGUCUCUGUGUUCUGGGUUGACCUUCACUUGAUGGUACAUUGCUUCUAUAUCACAUACAAGUGCAAUGCUUUCUUGCCUAAACCUACACAAUACUCCAAUAAGUUUGUUGGUAAGGUCUGGGCCUUGUAACAGGUGACUGUUUAAUGACUGGUUCCUGUAGUUUGCACUACAGUCAAAGACAACUCUCAACUUCUUUGGCUUUCUCGGAUGAUAGACUCCAUGAUGUGGAAUGUACCAGACCUUACCAUCAUUCCUAACUAAAUCCUUUGUCGGUACAACCUCUGCAUAACCUUUUGUAAUCAUAUCAUCCAUGAACAAUUUGUAAUCAUCUUUGUGUUGAUUAUCCUUCUCAAGUUUAGCUCUUAACUUCUUGAGUCUCUGCUCUGCUAAUAGUUUGUUGUUUGGAAGCUUGACGUUAUCAUCUUUAAGAGGAAGGGGCAACUCAUAAUGGCCAUCCUUCAGCUGAUGUACUCCUUCUUUCAUCUUACUCGUAAACCUUUUAUCUUCAUAUGAUAAUGGAGUGUCAGCUGACUUUCUAUCACUGAAGUCAAGUUUAAACAUAUCUCUCACUUGAGAAGGAUUAAUCAUCUCUUUGGUUUUAGUAGGAACCACUAAGAAAUUAACCCUUUUCUUCAUUGAUUUCUACUUCUUGUGUCACUUCUGUAGACUACCACUGUAUCCUCCAAUGGACUUGAAUGGGGUGAGAUUCUACCUGAGGUUCACUAAAUAUUUGUCCAUCUACUUCAUUUGUCAACAAUUCAUUAUCUCUAUUGCAAGAAGGAGGUUCCUGUGGAUCAUGGAAUGUAACAUAUUUGAGGCAUGGCAUUGUCACUUUGAUGAUUUGCAAUUGCUUGUGCUUUCAUUUCAUUUUGUGACUCUAUGUAUUGUUGAAGAUAACUUUGCUUCUCUACACUUUCAUCAUUACCUGGAAGCAUUUUUACUUCUUCUUCAACUAAGCUAAGAGCAUUAAGUUCUGCACUAGCAACUGCUAAAUCUCUCUCUUUCUUUUUCUUUGAGAACAUUGCUUCUGCCUCUGCUUUUGUCUUAGCUAACAUAACUUCUGCCUCUGCUAAACUAUCAUGAUAUUCCAUUUCCUUUCUAAGUCUGGCUACCUUUGCUGCUGCUUCUUGCUUUCUUUGUGCUGCUGAUGAAUGUGAUGAAGUAGAUGAGACUCUAGAAUGCCUAGACCGUUUGCUAGAACAAAUUGAUCCUCUGUCAUUCUUUAACUCCUUUCUUUUACAUUCUAUACUUUCUAAUAUUUCAUGGUGAACUCGUUGAUUGUGUUCCAGCUCUUCAUUUAGCUCCUCUGACUUUUAUGGCUCUAGUUCCACCAGUUUUGUGUAUUCCACUUAAUACUGAUGAAAUGCCUCUAUUACUUCACUUGACAUGGGCUCUAAUUCAAAGGGGCUAAUUACAAUUUUUAAUCCUUUCUUAAUUUUGCUGGUAACACUGCUCCAUUUACGCUUACAGGACUCUGCUCUUCCUUUGGUUACUGACUUGAUAUUCUCUUCCUUUGUCGGUCGGCACUCGCUCCCUGACACUAACUUCUUCAAUACAAGUUUGAUCCCUGUCCACUUGCUCACCCUCACCUUCCCUAAGGCCAUCUACGGCAUUAAUUUCCUCAGUAUCAGACAUAUCUAACAACUUAAUUGUGUCAAUACUGAGACACUGAAAGAGCAAUUAAAUUACCACUCUUAAUACUAGCUAAUUGUGGGUAAUUUUCACUUAGGCUACUCAAUUCAGUGCACAUACAUACUAUUAUAUUUUCUUGCCUGUGACCAUGGGUUCUACAAAAUGGUGGUGAGGCACACUGGGUAGAAGGGAGUGGUUGUCGUCAAGGGUAGAGCUGACCCCGGGGCCUCAGAGGUCAACCUAUAGGCUUACGUCAGCGUCCCCUCGUCCUGUGACUCACUCUUGCUACGGUUUCACAUGGAGCCAAUUUCUUGCUUGUAGGUCGAGUUCUUACUGUAGCUGCACCGGCUGGGCAUCAAUUGGCUCUCAGGUGAUCUGUUUUACUGAUCACACCCAUCAUCGUAGGGUCGAGGAAAGGCAGUUCUCCCUGACAUGUUUAUUGAUGAGGUAGGCAUGACCAUAAGAACUGCGAACAAGUUCUCGGUCUUAAUUUCUUACAAAAUAACAUUAUACACGGAUAUUAAACACUUUCAACAUAUUACAAUAUUCAUUAACAAUACAUGCAAUUAACUUGGCACUAUGACAAUCAGUUUUAACUACAAAAUUAAAGUAUUUAUCUCGGUCACCAUCGUGCCUGUCUUUGUCUGAGCGCGACUUGGCCGUGAGUGAUGCCUGCAGGCGACUAGCAGGUUAACCCCACACUACCAACAAGUGAGCAUCGGCUUUGGUGCUUAAUAUAGCAUUAAAUACUGAUACUUAUACAUAUUACACGUUUUCAUGCAAAUAGAAAACUAUUGAACAUUUCACUUAUAAAUGCCGAGGAAUAAUGACGUGAGGUACAUACGCUUUACAUACAGUAACAGCCUGUCUUCACAUGUCAAUUCUUCCAGUACAGGAACCACCUUCGUUGCCAUCCUGUGUGUCCUUUGUAGUUUUCUGACACGUUUGUUGUUGUGGGGAGACCACACUGACUCACCACAUUCCAGCUGUGGUCUAAUAGUGGUGGUAAUUGUCUUUCUCAUCGUCUCUUUAUCCAUGUAGUGGAAUGCUGUUGCAAUAUGUCUCAACAUUCUAUAUGCAUCCCUGAAUGUCUUUUCUACAAGCUUCUCCAACUGCUGACUGUCCUGUACUAUCACUCCCGGAUCUUUCUCUCCUUGUGCUAAAAGUACAUUUCAAAUGUCCAUUUUGGUCUUUUCACUUUUUUCCAUUUCCAUUACAUGACAUUUUUUCACAAUAAAUUCCAUCUCCCACUUCUUAUUCCAGUCUCAGAUUUUAUUCAAGUCCUCUUGUAGAAUUUCACAGUCUUUGUUGUUUCUUAAAUGUCUUUGUAAUUUUGCAUCGUCUGCAAACGUGCUGAUGUAACUCUUUACUCCUUCAGGCGUGUCAUUUAUGUAGAUCAGGAAAAGUAUUGGUGCCACCACUGACCCUUGUGGUACUCCACUACCUACUUUUCUCCAUUUUGUGUUUACACCUGUUACCAUCGUUCUCAUUUCUCUUUCCCUUUAGUAACUUUCCGUCCAGUUUUUUUUACUUCUCCAUUUAAUCCUUCAAUAUUUUCUAGCUUCCAUGAUAGCCUGUUGUGGGGAGCCUUGUCAAAAGCUUUUUCAGAUCUAAAUACACACAGUCUACUCAUCCAUCCCUCUCCUUUGUCAUAUCAGUCACUCUUGAAUAAAAGCUCAUCAGAUUGGUUACACAUGAUCACUUUUGUCUAAAGCCAUACAGUUUUUCUGUUAUAUAUCAUGUUUUUUCUAGGAAAUCUGUCCACUGCUUCUUGAUCACUUUUUCACAGGUCUUACACAGCAUGCUGGUCAUUGACACUGGUCUGUAGUGUAGUGCUUCUUCUUUCUUUCUACUUUAUACACUGGCACUAUGUCUGCUCUCUUCCAUUCCUUAGGCACUCUUCCAGUUGAUAAUGAGCACUUCAUUUUGUCAUAUACUGGUUCAAUUAAUUGUUUCUUUUUUAAGAUGAAACCUGGUACUCCAUCUGGUCCUGUUGCUUUUCUCUCUUCCUGUUCCUCCAUCAUUUUAUAAACUUCUUUGAUUACUCUAAUUUCCCACAUUUGCCUUUUUUGUCACCCCGUCUUGUGGUUCUUUAAAUUCCGAUUCUUCUGAGAAAGCUUGCUGCAACUUUUUGUUUACCAAUUCACUCGUGUCUUUUGGGUCUUCAUGUUUCAUUUCCAUCCUUCAAUCUUUCUAGUUUUUCCUUUGGUUUGAUUUUUGCGAUUAUUAAUCAGCAGGACAGUUGUGGUUCGUCCAUGCACUUUUCAACUAUAUCCUUUUCGCAUCCUUUCUUUCCUCUCUCCUUAUUUCCACGUGUUCAUCUCUUGGUAUCCUAAAGUCUUCUUUAUUUUUUUUGGUUUCAAUUUCUUUUAAUCUUUAUCUAUGCUUCAUCUCUUUUUUCUUUGCACUUGCACAUCUUGCACUGAGCCACACCUGGACAUAUUUGUUCACUCCAGCUCAUAUAUUUUCACCAAAAUGUCAAACUUAUCUUGCACAUCAUUUGCUCUUUUCAGCUUUUCCCAGUCCAUUUCUUCAUAAAAUUUCUGGAGGUCAUCUAUGUUAGCUUUUCCAUAGUUUCUCCUGUUUUCUUUGUAUGAUUCAUCCUCUUCACUGACAUCAUAAUUGGUCUCUAUUUGUAUCAUUACAUGGUCACCUUUUCCAUGGGGCACACGUGUCUCAAUGCUUUAGUUAGGUCCAUGCCCCUUGUUAGUAUUGUGUCUAGUCUUGCUGGUUCGUCAUCUUCCCUAUAACUUGUAUUUUCAGUCACCCGUUGCAUCACUGUGUUUUCCGUAGUCAGCUUCAGAAAUCCUUCUCCCCGUGCAGUCUCGUUUCCACCUGCUUCAGACGUUUCCCGGUUCACUUCUUUGCAGUUGAAGUCACCAACCAAUAAUACUAUUUUAUUACUUUUGAUUAAUUUACUCAAACACUAAAUGGUAUCUUCUAUUAUUUUGUCAUAUUCUUCCUUGCUCCAAGAACUUGUUUUGGGUGGUAGACAGGCUGUUAUUACCGUCAGUAUUUCUCCACUAUUACCUUCCAAGUUAACAUUCACUAUUUCUGCUUUUCCUUCCCCAUAUUUCACUAUUUUUGUCUUUGCCUCUUUUCCUGUCAUUAUCAUUACACCUCCCCUCCUUUAUCAAGCCUGUUUCUUCUCCAUAUAUUGUAGUCAUUUGUCACUAUCUGGUUUUCUUCUUUUUGUUUUGUUUCCGCUAAACACACCACCUUCGGAUUCUUUUCUUUUAAAUAGUCUUGUAAUUCCAGUUUUCUGUCUAUCAGUCCAUCUAUGUUGGUAUGCAUCACAAUAAGUCGUUCGUUUUUACCAUUUCUCUCUAUUUUAUCUUCAUUUAUUUCUUUACCUUCAUGUACCAUUUCUUCACUGUUUCCCAAAACUCUCAAAAACAAUGUAGUUUUUUCUUCUUGAGUUCUUGAUUAUUUUUUUUUUCUUUAGCCUCUUCAUACAUUUCUUUCAAACUUUUCUUCCAUUUCAUUUGUGUUCUUCCUAAAAUAUAUAUCCUUGCAAUCUUCUACUUCACUUAGUUUGGAUGUUCUUUCUAGUAUCUGUUCUGCUGCUUGUUGUGAUUUUAGUCUUAUUUUCACAGGUCUUGCUUUGCCUUCAAGAUAAGGCCCCCGUCUAACAACUUCUUCCACUUUCUCAAACUUAGUGUCAACUUCAUCGUUAAGUUUCUUCAGCAGAUCCUUCACUGUUUUUUUAUUCUUCUUUAUCUCUUUUCAAUUUGUGUGUUAUAUUUUUGUCCUUUAUUCCAUAACUAUAACACUUUUCUUCUUAUCUGCUGCACUGCUGCAUCCCUCACCAGAUCUUCAUUGUUUUCAGUGACUUUACCACUUUUUUCUACAUUUUCAUUUUUUUCUUCUAGUUGCUUUUCAAUUAUUUCCUUGAAGUCAACAUUUGCUUUAUCAUUUUCUUAUUUUCCAGUCUUUCACUUCAUCCAAGACACCCUCUCUCACCCUCUUCUUACCUUUCACUAACUCUGCUUUCAAAUCUUUAUUUUUCAUUACUUUCUCCAUGUUGUUUUGUAAUUCCUCAUUUUCUUAAUAUUUUGUUCUCUCACUCUCAUCUCCUCAGAUUCUGUUUUCAGCUUGAAAAUUUCACCAUCUUUUCCUAGACUCUGUUCUAGCUUAUGCUGAAGGGAUUUUACCAUUUCCAUCACUACCAUCUCCUUCUUCUGCUGUUCUGCCUCACUUUCCGCUUUCCUUAACCUCAUUUUCAAAAACCCAAUCUCACUUUCAUUUUGGUCUUUGUCACUAAAACCAUCAAAGUUUAUUUCAUCCCUUGGUGAAAAUGAGUCUGGUAUUUCAUAGGCCAUCUUUGUUUUGAAAAAUGCCCACAUCUUCAUCAGACUCAUCAAGAUAAAAAAAUCUGGUAUUAUGUGUCAAGGUGUGUGUGUGUGUGUGUGUGUGUGUGUGUGUGUGUGUGUGUGUGUGUGUGUGUGUGUGUGUGUGUGUGUGUGUGUGUGUGUGUUUACCUAGUUGUAUAAUACAGGGUUCCAGUAGGGCUCCUAGUGUCCCGUCUCCACAUCUAUAUAGAUUUAUCCAACGUUUCCUUAAAUUUGUGCACAUUAGGUGCUGUAACAACCUCUUCAUUUAGACCAUUCCAGAUAUCCACAGUUCUGUGUGGAAAACUGUACUUCUUGAUGUCCCUCAAACACUGACUCUUCCUGAUCUUCUUUGAGUGCCCUCUCGUCCGUCCAGCUUCAUCUUCUCCCAGCAACACCAGGUCCUGCUUGUCUAUCUUCUCGGUGCAGUUGAGAAGAUAGACAUAUAUAUUUUAUACAUUAUUAUUAGGUCUUCUCUUUCUCUUCUAACUUGCAAAGUUGGCAGUCCCAUUUCCUUCAACCCCUCUUUGUAUGUUAGGUCUUUCAGCUCCAUUACCAUCCUUGCAGCUGCCCUCUGAAUUCUUUCCAACUUCUUUGUCUUUCUUCAUAUGUGGAGACCACACCACUGCUGCACAUUCCAGUCUGGGAUGUAGCAUAAUGGCUAUAAUUUCUUUCAUCACAGUCUUAUCCAUGCAAUGAAAUGCUGCCCUAAUAUUUGUUAACUUCCCGUACGUUGAGCCAAAUGUCUCAUUUAUAUGCCGUUCUGCGGUCAAGGUAUCUUGAAAAACCACUCCUAGGUCUUUUUCCUCUUUGCUCUUCAUUAUCACUUCCUCCCCCAUUUUAUAGUUUUAUAGUCCUAUGCAGGUCUUCUUUUACUCUUUCCCAAUUCCAUCACAUGGCAUUUCUUAGUAUUGAAUUCCAAUUUCCACUUCUUGCCCCACCCAUAAAUCUUGUCAAUAUCUCUUUGCAACUCCAUACAAUCAAUAUGGCUCUUUAUUACUCUUAACAGUUUUGCAUCAUCAGCAAACAGAUUAAUAGGACUGGUCAAACCCUCCUGCAUAUCAUUGAUGUAUAUUUAGAACAUAAUGGGUGCUAACACUGACCCCUGUGGUACUCCACUUGUUACAUUAUUCCAACUUGAGCAGGUGUCCCUGAUCACAGUUCUCAUUUCUCUAUCCUUUAAGUAGUCUCUCAUCCAUUUUAGCAUUGUCCCUCUCAGUCCUCCUUUAUGUUCCAUCUUCCACAAUAGUCUUUUAUGCAGAACUUUAUCAAAAGCCUUCUUGAUGUUCAAGUACACUGCAUUUACCCACCCAUCUCUGUUUUGUACUUCAUCUAUUACUAUUGUAUAGAAACUUAGUAAAUUUGUCACACAUGACCUUCCUUUUCUGAAACCAAACUGACAAUUUGUUAUGACUUUGUUCUCUUCCAAAUAUUUCACCCACUUUUCCUUGAUCACUAUUUCACAGAUCUUGCCCACAACACUAGUUAGCGACACCGGUCUAUAAUUUGGUGGCUCAGUCCUUUUUUCUUCUUUGUGUAUUGGCACUACAUUUGCUCUCUUCCACUCUCUUGGUACUCUUCCCUCUAUCAGUGAGCUGUUAAUCACAUCCCAAAUUGGCUCCACCACUUGUUCUCUACAUUCCUUUAGUGUCCAACCUGACACUCCAUCAGGCCUCAUUGCUUUCCUGACAUCCAACUUCUCUAACAAUUUGCCAAUUUCAUGUUUUUGCACCAAGACUUCCCGCAUCCCGCCCCCCACACCUCGUUUGGUUCAGUAAAUUCCGCUUCCACAAUGAACGCAGACCUGAAACUCUCAUUCAUAAUUUCAGUAAUCUGUUCCAGUGUUUGAUAUAUCCUUCCUUCCUCUACUAUCUUGUCAGUGGUCUCUCUGCUUGUCAUCUUUCCAUUGAUAUAUCUGUAAAAAAGCUUGGGCUCUUCUUCACAUUUCUUUACCCCACACUUUUCAAAUUGUUUCUCCUCUCUUCUUAUUCUAACAUACUCAUUCCUUGCCUCCUUAUACUGCUCUCUAUUAUUUUCAUUACUUUGUUUCUUCUGUUUCUUCCAAGCUAUAUCCUUUCUCUUUUUAGCUUCUGAACAUCUGGCAUCGUACCAAAUGUGUGUGUGUGUGUGUGUGUGUGUGUGUGUGUGUGUGUGUGUGUGUGUGUGUGUGUGUGUGUGUGUGUGUGUGUGUGUGUGUGUGUGUGUGUGUGUGUGUAGU